rnacentral:rRNA from 18 species
CUAAGCGUACACGGUGGAUGCCCUGGCAGUCAGAGGCGAUGAAGGGCGUGCUAAUCUGCGAUAAGCGCCGGUAAGGUGAUAUGAACCGUUAUAACCGGCGAUACCCGAAUGGGGAAACCCAGUGUGACUCGUCACACUAUCAUUAACUGAAUCCAUAGGUUAAUGAGGCGAACCGGGGGAACUGAAACAUCUAAGUACCCCGAGGAAAAGAAAUCAACCGAGAUUCCCCCAGUAGCGGCGAGCGAACGGGGAGGA